UACGUAGGGUGCAAGCGUUAUCCGGAAUUAUUGGGCGUAAAGAGCUCGUAGGCGGUUUGUCGCGUCUGCUGUGAAAACUGGAGGCUCAACCUCCAGCCUGCAGUGGGUACGGGCAGACUAGAGUGCGGUAGGGGAGAUUGGAAUUCCUGGUGUAGCGGUGGAAUGCGCAGAUAUCAGGAGGAACACCGAUGGCGAAGGCAGAUCUCUGGGCCGUAACUGACGCUGAGGAGCGAAGGCAUGGGGGAGCGAACAGG
rnacentral:rRNA from 1 species